rnacentral:misc_RNA from 1 species
UUAUGAAAGAAAGAAGUGUACUUCAGAUGUCUGGACUCCAAAUCACAGCUAUUGCAAUUCAUUCGUUCAAAAAUAUCCAUUCCAAAAAGAGAAUGCACUAAACAAGCAUUGUUUGUACAAUCCCAAGACCCCAUGCCAUUGCUUUCCACUGAGUCAGAAUCAGAACCACUUGAACCAGAAGCAAAUGCCUGAUGAAGGCAAUUAAAUAUUACUGCCAGUACUUCAGAUGCAUCAUUCAUCUGACCCUCCUGGAAGAAAUUACUAUCAGGGUACAAGU